GAUGGGAUCACUUUUGUAUGAAAGCUUUGCGCUUUGCACACUAUCGUAAUAUAGAAUUACGUAUUAAGCACACAACCGUCACAACUUCACUAUUAAUCGAAAAUUAAAGCAAAAAUCGUCUACAUCUUCCUAACAGUAGGAUUGAUUAUAAAGUACCAUUCAAGUACUGGAUUGCCAGCUAUGAUAAAAAGUAGCACAAUAAAUAUUUUCAGUUCAUAAUAU